rnacentral:rRNA from 1 species
UCGUAGGUGAACCUGCGGAAGGAUCACUGUCGAAACCUGCCUAGCAGAAUGACCUGUGAAUUUGUGAACGUUCCGGGGGGGCGAGGGUUGUGCUUGCGCAAUUGUCGUCCCCCCCUCGUUGGGAAGAAUGUGCGUGCCCCAUUUCCCCUUGUGGGAGUGUGGUUCGUACAAGCUCUCCUCGACCGAACAACGAACCCCGGGGUGAAAUCGCCCCAAGGAAAUUCAAAUAUAGACCUAGCUUCCUUUGUCCCGGAAACGGUGUGCGUGGGAAGUGGUGUUGUCUUUUGUAAACCAAUAACGACUCUCGGCAACGGAUAUCUCGGCUCUCGCAUCGAUGAAGAACGUAGCGAAAUGCGAUACUUGGUGUGAAUUGCAGAAUCCCGUGAACCAUCGGGUCUUUGAACGCAAGUUGCGCCCAAAGCCAUUAGGCCGAGGGCACGUCUGCCUGGGCGUCACACAACGUCGCCCCCCAAACACACAUAGUGUGAUAGGAGGGGCGGAUAUUGGCCUCCCGUGUGCAACAAUGCUUGUGGUUGGCCGAAAAGUGAGUCCACGGCGAUGAACGUCACGAUCAGCGGUGGUUGCGAGACCUUCCGAAUCCAAUCGUACGCGUUUGUCGUCUAAUGGAAGCUCUUUGACCCUAGUGCAUUGUCUUGACGAUGCUUUUGUAGCGACCCCAGGUCAGGCGGGGCUACCCGCUGAGUUUAAGCAUAUCAAUAAGCGGAGGA